GACGAACCGAGCGAACGUUGUUCGGAAUCACUGGGCUUAAAGGGCGCGUAGGCGGGUGCGCCAGUCUGCGGUGAAAGCCUCCAGCUUAACUGGAGAAGGGCCGUGGAUACUGCACAUCUUGAGGAGGGUAGGGGCAUCUGGAACGGUCGGUGGAGCGGUGAAAUGCGUUGAUAUCGACCGGAACUCCGGUGGCGAAGGCGAGGUGCUGGACCCUUUCUGACGCUGAGGCGCGAAAGCCAGGGGAGCAAAGCGGG
rnacentral:rRNA from 1 species